CUCUGUGACUCCUACGGGAGGCAGCAGUGGGGAAUAUUGCACAAUGGGCGCAAGCCUGAUGCAGCAACGCCGCGUGAGUGAUGAAGGCCUUCGGGUCGUAAAGCUCUGUCCUCAAGGAAGAAUAAAUGACGGUACUUGAGGAGGAAGCCCCCGGCUAACUACGUGCCAGCAGCCGCGGUAAUACGUAGGGGCAAGCGUUAUCCGGAAUCACUGGGCGUAAAGGGGUGCGUAGGCGGUUUUCAAGUCAGAAGUGAAAGGCUAUGGCUCAACCAUAGUAAGCUUUUGAAACUGUUAAACUUGAGUGCAGGAGAGGAAAGUGGAAUUCCUAGUGUAGAGGUGAAAUUCGUAGAUAUUAGGAGGAACACCAGUGGCGAAGGCGACUUUCUGGACUGUAACUGACGCUGAGGCACGAAAGCGUGGGGAGCGAACAGGAUUAGAUACCCUGGUAG
rnacentral:rRNA from 1 species